CUACGUGCCAGCAGCCGCGGUAAUACGUAGGGCGCGAGCGUUGUCCGGAAUUAUUGGGCGUAAAGGGCUUGUAGGCGGUUGGUCGCGUCUGCCGUGAAAUCCUCUGGCUUAACUGGGGGCGUGCGGUGGGUACGGGCUGACUUGAGUGCGGUAGGGGAGACUGGAACUCCUGGUGUAGCGGUGGAAUGCGCAGAUAUCAGGAAGAACACCGGUGGCGAAGGCGGGUCUCUGGGCCGUUACUGACGCUGAGGAGCGAAAGCGUGGGGAGCGAACAGGAUUAGAUACCCUGGUAGUCCACGCUGUAAACGAUGUCGAUUUGGGGGUUGAACUAUAAGUUUGGCGCCCGUAGCUAACGUGAUAAAUCGACCGCCUGGGGAGUACGGCCGCAAGGUUAAAACUCAAAUGAAUUGACGGGGGCCCGCACAAGCGGUGGAGCAUGUGGUUUAAUUCGAUGCAACGCGAAGAACCUUACCUACUCUUGACAUCCAGAGAACAUUC
rnacentral:rRNA from 1 species